rnacentral:lncRNA from 1 species
GUGGUCAUGCAAAAAGGGGGGAUGUAAACCAAUACAUCUUAGUAAAAUUGUUACAAAAUGUUCAGAGUGCGAUGAAGCUCAUAUAUAUAUUAUAUAUACUAGUAUACUAUAAGCUAUGUGAUCUUGUGUCAUGUAAUUUUGCACUGCAUAGAUUAGCUAACCUCUAAAUUUAUUAACAAACAGUACAUACAUUGUAUAUAUGUGUAACUACCAAUAUUUUUGAGAUAUUUUUGUGUAUACUCCUUUUUUCUAAAAGCUGAAUAGUCUUCUUUUUGAGAUAUUUUGUUAACCUGGAUGGGAGGUUGAUACAUAGAAUUUAUGAUGGCCUCAUGGCAUACUUAAAAAAUACUUGAUUUAGUUCCAAUUUUUUUCUGUUUGGUAAACAAAUAUAAAGGCAUAUAAUAAAAAUAAAU